rnacentral:rRNA from 1 species
GUGGGGAAUAUUGCACAAUGGGGGAAACCCUGAUGCAGCGACGCCGCGUGAGUGAAGAAGUCAUUCGUGAUGUAAAGCUCUAUCAGCAGGGAAGAAAGUGACAGUACCUGAGUAAGAAGCCCCGGCUAACUACGUGCCAGCAGCCGCGGUAAUACGUAGGGGGCAAGCGUUAUCCGGAUUUACUGGGUGUAAAGGGAGCGUAGGUGGUACUGCAAGUCAGAAGUGAAAGCCCCGUGCUUAACGUGGGGACUGCUUUUGAAACUGUGGGACUAGAGUGCAGGAGAGGUAAGUGGAAUUCCUAGUGUAGCGGUGAAAUGCGUAGAUAUUAGGAGGAACACCGGUGGCGAAGGCGGCUUACUGGACUGUAACUGACACUGAGGCUCGAAAGCGUGGGGAGCAAACAGGA